CUGGUCAUAUCUACAGUCAUUAUUGUCAUCCCAAACUGAGAUUGCAGCAGCUUUGUCCAGAUGCUGCAUCGAUUACUAGUCUUUCAAAGAUUGCAUAUCUGCUUGCAAACUUCUGCAAAUUACGAACUUAGAUUGAUUUAAGUCCUUUGAUGGCAUCUUCAGUUCUGCUAGAUCUUCCUAAACAUUCUUUAGAUCAACUUUAAAGUCAGAGAUGUCAUCUGUUGUUUCACUAUAGCUCCUAUUCUUUCUUUUAAAAAUUAGAUGCUGCUGACACCUUUAAAGCUUUUCUGUAAGUGUUCAGCCCAUAGCAAACAUUUGUACAACUAUUAUUUUAGAAGCUAAAUGUUCCAGUUUGUUUGUUUAGGCAUUUCUUAUGUGGUCUUAUGCAGUGGCUACUGGGUAUGUUAAAUGUAUGGCUUUUCUGAGGCAUCAAAAGUAACCAUACAUUUCAUUGUUCUCUGAUUCAUAACUGGUUUACUCAAUUCAUGUUCAUCUGAAUGUUCAUCUGAAAGGUGUUAAAUUUUAGCACUAUUUAGAAUUAACUCCUUUAUUAAUAAUGAAACUUGCACUCCAAAUUAAAAUUUUCAGUUUUAUUUAAAAAUUUCCUUUUUAUUUAAAAAUUAGGUCAUAUAAAUACUUUGUAAAGGAGUCAUUGAAGAGGAAAUAAAAUUGAACUGUGGCAGAUAGACUGUGGCUUGUAUUUCCAGAAGUUCUCAUUUUGCUGUAUAAUGUAUCUCAGUGUCAGUUCGCAGACUGAUGUAACCUGAUCUUGUUCCAGCUCCUGGAUUCUUACAAGAUGGUACCAACAUUUUGCGGUAAGUUUUAUCAUGAAGUUUGGACUCUGCAGGUCAAGUGCUUUUGCCUGUGACCUACACUGAUUUAGGCAGUAUUCAACUCUGGAAACGAGAGAGCAGUCCAGUCACAUACAACAUUUUAACAGCAGAUUCAUCUGGUUAAGAAAGCGCACCCUUAUUUAUCUUGUAUUCUUUCUUUUUAAUGCCUGGGCCUGACAAAGAGGGGACUCUUUGGGAAAAGAAUGCCAAAUUCUGCAUUGUGUUUCUGCAGUUCCCUGUCAUAUGUUGUUCAGAGAUUCAUGGCAACAAACUUCUCAAAGGCAUGAAGUGAAGGAGUUACAUUUCUUCUUCCCCAGAACUUUGGAAUCUAUCCCAUUUCAUGUGUAGUUUGUCUUCUCAUCAGGGAAGUAUUUUCUGAUCAGUAUGAGAUGUGUAUACCCAAGCAUGAAGCCUGGAUGUAUUUUCAGAGAUGGAUACUGAUUAAGAUCCUUAAUGUUUCAACUAUAAAUUCUACUCUUAAAGUAAACAUUGGAGAGUAAACAGUUUCUGUUAAAAAUAAAACCAUAGCAACAGCCUCAUGACAAAUCACAGAACUUUGCACUCGCUUUGUUUUGUAAUAAAGAAGGCCUUUGAUACGCUAUAGGCACCACCUAGCCCAGCUAUAGGUGAGGGCUCUGUUCUAAACACUGUUUCACAGCAUUUAUGAUUCAGCAUCAAAAGCAUGUUUCUGGUUGAAAUGUGGUACAGAAGCUCGCGCUCUUUCUCUGCUGUAAGAGGCUACCUAGAGUGUAAUUUUAUUCUGACCCCCCUUUCCAAAAUCCUUUUGACACCGUAACAAAACUUUAAAAAGAACAGAAAAACACCAAAAAACCAAAACCAAACCAAGAUUGAACCAGUAAUUUAAACCAGUAGUUCACUACUUCAUUGAGUACUGUCAUCAUUAGUUAAGUUGUCAUCAUUUCAGUUAAAAGUGGGAAAAAAAAAGUGUUCAAUAGGAAAUAAAGGUGUCUUGCUGCUGGACAUUUUAAUUCACAUAGUGAAACUUUUCCUGAAAUGACUGCUGGAAUAUUACAGACCUUCUUCUCUUGUUCCUGUGGCAUCAAGGGAAAAGUGGAGCAGACCUGGUUAUUCAGGAAUUCCUCAGGUGGCUGUUUGUAUUGUAAUUUGGUUUUUCUCAGUUGUAUAAAUUGUCUUGUUCUUGUGCAAAUAUACCACUGAUGUAGUUAAAGGAUCCAUGAGCUCUAAGUAAUGUCCUGUGAAGGGCAAGAUACUUGUCUCUGUGGCAGUUGGUUAGCAGACUUUUAAAGAUAGUACAAUAAGCUGCCAAAACCAGAAUUUUAAGCUUAGGUGUUUUCUCUGACCUCAUUUUAGGCCAAGCUUGCUGUCUUGAGAUACUAGGUAUUUUACUCCUUGAGAUACUAGAUACUUGGUUCUUACCAUGCGAAUAUUGAAAGCGUGAAAAACAUCACUGCAAGUGAAGCUGCCUUUUGGGCCUCGCAAAAACAAGUAUGGGGAAGAGUCUGAAGGAUGGCGACCAAGGAAGUCCUGCUCAUGGAAUUUUUCCCAAAGCACUUUGAUUCAGAUGAGACUAGCUAACUCUUCUAUAGAGAUGUAUUUGUCCCAAUUGUCUUUGUAACUCCAUACUGCCUCUUAGCAGGAGGAGAGAGAGACAACGGAACAGUUUUUGCUUGGCUUGUGUUUAUGUUAAAGAACCCCAAGGAGAUUGUCAAGAUGAAGGGAGAAGAGUUGAUGUUUCUGAGGUUUUGACUCUUGGGGAAGUUCAUUCCACUGUUAAGAAAGCUUCAGCCCCCUUGCGAAGAGAGCUUCAUUAUGACAGAAGAACCAAACUGGUAACUGUGGACCAUGGAUGAUCUUUGAUGUUUUUCCUUCUCUCUCUGUCAUACUCUUGGCCUUUCUAAAGAUGUUCAAAUAGUUGCUCUUUGUGUUAGUGCUCAGGGCAGGCUGCGUGUCCUGGUCUUACAUACGACCCACUUGUCAGUGCAAACCUCUAUAAAGCAGCCUGAAGCAUUUGGGGUUUUUUGUUCUUCAUUCACAAUUGGUGGGCAUGGGCAUAUUUUGUCAAAGUAAUGAAGCAAGAUGCUUAGAGUUUUGGGGUUUAGGUUUGCUUCCCAGGGCUACUUAGUUCUGUACCGAAGGACUGCAUGCCCACUCCAACCCUCAAAUCAAUGUCUUUUUGAUACAAGUGGGAGAUUUUCAGAGCAUUUUGGCUGAAUUCUUAUUUGCAUCUCUCCUUUUCUAAAACCAUAAGAAAAUUUUUCAUGCAAAUGACUUCCAGGAAUACUGAUUUUUAAAAGAAGCCUAUUUUGUUAAAGAUGGUGAAACUCAUAGACAGCAGUCACUUUGCUUACCCACUGUAGUCAGACUGAGUUGUGUUGCCACAGGAUGAGAACCGUACUGAAUGCUUCUUCAGUUCAAAGUGGAUCAAGGGUAUAAUUUUAGAGCUGAAAGACAUUGCUUACAGUUCAGGUAAAGAACUGCAAUUUAUUUUACCACCCAUCCUAUAUUGCACUUUUAGAUUGAAGGCCUUCAGGCCUGGAACUCUGCCUGUGCAUUUCACAUGUACAGUAUUCUCAGGAUACAAUAUAAAUAAUAGUAUAUCAGCAUUGGAGGGAAUAUCCCUGUGGAGCAAUCCACAACUGAGUGAACCUCUCGGAUAUUAUGGAACAAGGCCAGCAUUACUUCAAAAACAUUUUUCUUAGACAAAGUCAGUCAAGUGCCUAAAUUAAAAUCCCACUCAAUUGCUUUGGUCUUAUCAGAUGAAGUAUCUGUAUGUUCAUUUAAUAACCCUCUCAUGCAUUUUAUCUUUAUGCUUAAUUUAAAUAUGAGAAGCAAACACAUUUUAUAUAGUUGUUAUUCUCCAAUUACUACAAAAGCUUCUGAGAAUCUUUGAUCAUGAGAAUGUUACUUCAAAUCCAAUUCUGCUUCACAAUUACAAAAUGUCUUACUGAAGUUAGUUUGGAUGCAGUUCUAGUCCAAGUGCAGUAAACCACAGUCAGUCCUCAAAACCCAGGUAUGACUACAGAGCAGUAAGGAGAUCAGAAUGCACUCAUGUAACUGACCUGAUUUAUUUAGUGGUGGGGUUUUUUAAGGCAGAAAUUCCAGAAGAACUGUAAUGAUAACAAGUGCCUAACAUAGUGCAUGAAUGAUACGGCAUGAGAUGCAGUUUACAAAAUGUUGCUAUUAUUAAAAUACCUAAAAUACUUCUAGAUCAGUAAAUUUUAUUUAUUGCAUCAGGGACACUACAAAGGAUGUUCAGCCACAGAGUUCUGUUUUUUGGGAGGUAUUUUUACACACGACCAUGGAGAGGUGACACAGGCCACUAAUAUUAACACCCUUGUGCUUGGAUGGGGUCAGAUUAGACUGUGAACAAACUUUUAAUUAAAUUUCACUUCUCAGACAAUGAAACCAUGAAAAGUUUUGCUGCUUUUCCAUUUUCCAUACAUUUCAGCUUGUAACACUGAAACGCAUACAAAUGAAUUUCAGCAUCUUUACAGUAGUGACUUUGUUUCUGCCUUUUAUCCUUGAGGG